UAGGGAAUCUUCGGCAAUGGGGGGAACCCUGACCGAGCAACGCCGCGUGAGUGAAGAAGGUUUUCGGAUCGUAAAGCUCUGUUGUUAAGGAAGAACGAGUGUGAGAAUGGAAGGUUCAUGCUGUGACGGUACUUAACCAGAAAGGGACGGCUAACUACGUGCCAGCAGCCGCGGUAAUACGUAGGUCCCGAGCGUUGUCCGGAUUUAUUGGGCGUAAAGCGAGCGCAGGCGGUUAGAAAAGUCUGAAGUGAAAGGCAGUGGCUCAACCAUUGUAGGCUUUGGAAACUGUUUAACUUGAGUGCAGAAGGGGAGAGUGGAAUUCCAUGUGUAGCGGUGAAAUGCGUAGAUAUAUGGAGGAACACCGGUGGCGAAAGCGGCUCUCUGGUCUGUAACUGACGCGGAGGCUCGAAAGCGUGGGGAGCGAACAGG
rnacentral:rRNA from 1 species